UCUGAUUAGAGCUUUUACUUUAUCAGAGUGGACUGGAGGCUGAUAUCAUUUCAGCACUUACUCCCAGUCCAACUGGCCUCUGUCACAGUGCUGUAUUAACAGCCAUACAUUAUUCAGCUGAAAAAACAAAUGUGCUCAACCUGGAACAACUGAGACGGUGUUGUGAAGGAAACUAAGUCCCUAAGGUUUGAUCACAGAGUAAAAAAGGUGAUUCUUUGCCUUCAAACAGCUGUAAAGUUGUAACUAAUGAAAGUGGAUUGUUGUGUUUAUUCGCACAGUAUUGGGUUCAGAGUCAUUUCACAAAAAUUAAGCCUGUUAAAAAUCAAAUGAAUAAAAAAAGGAAAGAACAGAAGGGGAUUUCUUCCCAGAAAAGGUUGAGACUCUAAAGAAAAUGAAAAACAAAAAGUCAGUGUUUCUUCCGUUUACUUGAAUUUUAUCUUAUUUUUACACAGUUUAAAACCAAUUAAUUUAAUGUUUUGUCUGCUUAUUUAUUAUGUACAUCAAUUCCUGUAUUUCAAGUCUGAAAGGGCCAUCAGGCAUCAGUAUUCCAGACUGUUGAAGAAUGAAGAAAAGGGCCUUCCAGACAGAUAUCAGCAACAGAUCAAAAACACAGGACAAUAGCAGUGAAGAACAGGACACCGCAGAGCUGCAGCCACCACAGAAGACCUCUGAUGGUCAGUCUGGCUGGCUUUGUGCUUCAAUGUUUCCUGGGUGGUCAGUGGUGGUCCGGAGCUCCCCUGCAGGCACCAGGUUCAGACUCCUGGAGUUUAGGGUUUAGCUGUGCUGGAUGCCUUUGGGGCCUGGGAUUCCUAUAGCAGAGAUCAGUCUGGAGGGCACUUCAGCUAUUCAGUCUCAUAGCAAAAAGUAAUGAAUGGCUAUACAGGUCCAUGAUAUAUAUGAUAUAUAUAUGAUGGCUUAAUAAGAUAUGGCAAAAGUCAUAAAGCAUGAUACUUGUCCCUAUCCCAUGACUUUUGCUAUGUCCUAUUAAAGCUGAAGAGUGCUGGAUUGAUCUAUAGGAUAUGUAUUUGAGCCACAUUAAGAAAAAAAAAAAAAC
rnacentral:lncRNA from 1 species